AACGAACGCUGGCGGCACGUUUUAAGCAUGCAAGUCGAAUGGCAGCAGGGGCAACUCUGUGAGAAUGGCGAACGGGUGAGUAACACGUAGGUGAUCUGCCUUGAGGAUGGGGAUAGCCUGUGGAAACACAGGGUAAUACCGAAUGAGCUGACGAGACUUUGGUUUGGUUAGUAAAGGUGCUACGGCACCGCCUUGAGAGGAGCCUGCGGCUGAUUAGCUAGUUGGUGGGGUAAGAGCUUACCAAGGCGACGAUUAGUAGCCGGCCUGAGAGGGUGUACGGCCACACUGGAACUGAGACACGGUCCAGACUCCUACGGGAGGCAGCAGCUAAGAAUCUUCCGCAAUGGGCGAAAGCCUGACGGAGCGAUGCCGCGUGAUCGAUGAAGGUCGAGAGAUUGUAAAGAUCUUUUCUACAUGAGGAAUAAGUCUGGGAGGGAAUGCCCGGAUGAUGACGUUAGUGUAGGAAUAAGCCCCGGCUAAUUACGUGCCAGCCGCCGCAGUAA
rnacentral:rRNA from 1 species